AUGCACAAGAGGUUAUAUGAGUGCCCUAUAUCAAUUUCCAUUCUUUAACUUUGUCAGCUGGGAUUGUUUAUAUUCAGUUGAUUUUCAUGGCUGGUACAUUA
rfam:Jatropha curcas cultivar GZQX0401 scaffold550_27, whole genome shotgun sequence.